UACGAAGGGGGCUAGCGUUGCUCGGAAUGACUGGGCGUAAAGGGCGCGUAGGCGGGUCGCUAAGUCGGGCGUGAAAUCCCCGGGCUCAACCCGGGGCGGUCGCCGGAGACGCGGGGGCUGGAGGGGGGGAGAGGGUCGCGGAAUUCCCAGUGUAGAGGUGAAAUGCGUAGAUAUUGGGAAGAACACCGGUGGCGAAGGCGGCGACCUGGCCCUUUACUGACGCUGAGGCGCGAAAGCGUGGGGAGCAAACAGG
rnacentral:rRNA from 1 species